CAGUGAUCAAAUUCAGGUCCUCAGGCUUGAUGGAAGAUAGACUUGCCUGCUGAGCCAUCUGGGCAGCCCACUUGUCCUGUUUCACAGCUCAUAACAAAAUGCAGUUGCUCAUUAAAGCAAUUAGUUUCUGCAGCAAGUCUACUUGGUCCUGAGUGUGGCUUCCUAUCUUUGGCAGUUGGCAGUGGAAUACAGACGGGGUGGAGUCCUGUAGGGAAGUUCUUUGGAGCACCCAGCUUUGUAAUAGUGUUUAGUCUCUGUUUUGAGUCUCAGGUUCCCAAAGGCUAACAGGAUUUCUGAUCAUUUAGGGGGCGUGUUUGGAUUGUUAACUCUGUCAGAGUAGAAAAAUUCAACAGUGAUGCCACCGGCUAGUCACUCUUCAAAGGAUGUGAGAAGGCUCAUCCCUAAGCUCCUGCCACCUCACCUGAUCUCCAUAACCAACUGGAGUCCCUGAGGCUUGAGACCAGACGCAUUCUUCCUCCCUUAAGCUGCAUCAGGCCUAGCAGUGAGAAGAGCUGCCCAAUGGUUGGCCUCCAUCAAGAGACUGGGCAGCUAGAGGAGCUGGUGUUAAGUGCAGACGGUUCCACAUUGGUGGUUAUGUGUUUCACUUUUUACGUAAUGGCACACCAAGGAAUGCAACUAUAAUAUAAAGAAAGCUACACGUCAGUCUGCCAUAGAAGCACAUUGGGAAUGUCUCCUGUGAAAGAGCAAAGCGGGCCAGGAAUUGUUUUUUUCCAAAGAAUGAAGUGAAGCUCAACUCUCAAGAAAUAGAUCUGACAGCUCUGCAGUUUGUGUCCCUAGGUAAACUAUUUCUGUUGAUGGCUGCUCCAUUCCUUCAGACCCAGAGGACACUGACACGGGACUGAUAGGACAGUGUGUUUAUUGUGAUGAUGUCCUAUUCACCGACCCUAAGAGGGAACUCUGCAUAAAAACAACACCUACUAACUAUCUUGUUCAUGCUAGAGACUAAUUAUUUCCCUGCCAGGAGGUAUAAUUAUGGUCAAAAUAAUGCAAAUGAACUAACUCAAGACCUGGACAUACCUUUUUGAGGAAUACAAGUCAAC
rnacentral:lncRNA from 1 species